AUGAGCAAGCAUCCUCUUACCAUUUGCAUCGCCAAUACGGGGAAGUGCGAGACCCUUGAGCGGGAGAAUUCCCAGGUUGAGAAGGAAUUGGCUGAGUUGCGGAUAAAGGCCAAGAUUAAUGAUUCUCUACAAAAGAAGGUGGAUCGAUACAUAUUUCUGUCGACUUUGUAUGCUCAGAUAGCGGAGUUGAAGGCUUCUCUUGUCGAGGGAGAGAAACGUUGGAAAAAGACUUCUGAAACUACGGCUAAGGCGUACUAUGAGUUAGAAGUAGACCAAACAACUAUUAUGCAGAAGAAGGAUGAUUAA